UGGGGAAUAUUGGACAAUGGGGGCAACCCUGAUCCAGCAAUGCCGCGUGAGUGAAGAAGGCCUUAGGGUUGUAAAGCUCUUUCGCCCGCGACGAUGAUGACGGUAGCGGGAGAAGAAGCCCCGGCUAACUCCGUGCCAGCAGCCGCGGUAAUACGGAGGGGGCUAGCGUUGUUCGGAAUUACUGGGCGUAAAGGGCGCGUAGGCGGCGAUUCAAGUCAGGCGUGAAAGGCCUGGGCUCAACCCGGGAACUGCGUUUGAUACUGGAUUGCUGGAGUCCGGGAGAGGAUGGCGGAAUUCCCAGUGUAGAGGUGAAAUUCGUAGAUAUUGGGAAGAACACCGGUGGCGAAGGCGGCCAUCUGGACCGGAACUGACGCUGAGGCGCGAAAGCGUGGGGAGCAAACAG
rnacentral:rRNA from 1 species